rnacentral:rRNA from 1 species
UACGAAAAUUUCGCAAUAAGCGAAAGCUUGACGGAGCCAUCCCGAGUGCCGUCCGCUGAGGAUAGCUUUUCCCCAGUGUAGAUAGCUGGGGGAAUAAGGAGAGGGCAAGUCUGGUGUCAGCCGCCGCGGUAAUACCAGCUCUCCGAGUGGUGGGGAUGUUUAUUGGGCCUAAAGCAUCCGUAGCCAGCUGAGCAAGUCCCCAGUUAAAUCCAGCGAUUUAAUCGUUGGACUGCUGAGGAUACUGUCCGGCUAGGGGGUGGGAGAGGCCGACGGUAUUCCCGGGGUAGGGGUGAAAUCCUAUAAUCCCGGGAGGACCACCAGUGGCGAAGGCUGUCGGCUAGAACAUGCCCGACGGUGAGGGAUGAAAGCUGGGGGAGCGAACCG